ensembl:rRNA 5S_rRNA 5S ribosomal RNA
GUCUAUGGCUAUUCCACCCUGAGGGUGCCUAAUCUUGUCUGAUCCUGGAAGCUAAGCAGGCAUGGGCCUGUUUAGUACUUGGAUGGGAGCACCUGGUAUCUAACAGGUGUUUUUCAUG